GAGCAUUUUAUGGAGUAGAUUUUAGAAGAGAAAUUUCUGCUGGAGAUCUCCAAAAAGAGAUGAGGGAUGCCUUCAUAAGAAGAGUAAAGUCAUGCACACUAACUUGCACUGGCACAAGUGCUUUUACAAAGAGUAAAUUGCUCACUGGAAAAAAAUACAGCUAUGACUUUGAAGGUUGUGUUAAAUUACUAAGUUCAGUUGAAAGCUGAUCACAGUCCUUGUAACCUGAUUCUCUACUGCCUUACUGUGUGUGCUCAGGAACUCCACUGAAGAAGAAGGCUUUUGCAAAAAAUAUCAAAAUAUUUAUGUUUCAAGGAGAAUAAGUGCAGGACAAUUUUAAAGGGAAAACAUUUAUUGAAAGGUAAUUCAGGAGAAAGUCAAAUAUAUGAACCCUGUUAUCUAGACCAAUUCUUUGAUUUUUUAACAUUUCUGCCUCUACAGUCAAGCACUGCAGUAGAAUUUUCUUAAUACAGGGAUAGUGUGUGGUGCAAGGACAGAGGAUGGAUUAUUAACCACUUGGUGCACAUUGCCUCUGAAGAUGAGAGAAGCAAAACAGCAUUAUUUGUUCAUUCAUUAGGUAAAUUUAGUCACCAUUACAUUAGUUAUGUUUGCAUUGCUCCUUUUAUCCCACACAAACCAUGGAGAGAUUUCUGUGCUUUCUGGCAGACAAGGAGGUUUUACUAGAAUAGACGCUGUUUAGGAAGGAACAAGUUUUGAAUGAGUACGAGUAUUUAUGUAAAAGAAUCUAGACAGUAUCCAUAAAACACAUUUGGAUCUUAUUUACUUACAUUUGUGCUUUUUUUUUCAAAAGGCCCUUGAUGAAUACACUUAUGCAACAUUCACUGUGCACUGCCUAUAGCCACAUGCCACUGGUGUAGGGUGUUUGAAUGGCAUCCACUUCACACAAUACAGGGAUGCCUUUGGCCCCUAUCUGUAAGUACUCUGGGUGCUUCUGGAAAAUCGUGUGUUGCGUCACUUGCUGCCUCUUGCUGGCACACAGAGAGCUUCUUCUUCUUCUGUCUGAGCCCACACUGACUGAAGAAAUGUCCUGAAGCUGCCGCUUCCACCCAAACCUGCUGUGAAACCUGAGGUGUGUUCCUCAGAGGUAUGAACAUUUCAGUCUGUAUGUGUGCUGGGCCUCUAAUGCCACUACAGAACGGUGUGCAGUCUUGUGGGGAGUUUUUCUCCCUUCUGUGAUUUUGGUCUGUGGCAUAGCACUGUGGGAUGUUCCUUGUCUUUACUCAUAGCAACGCCAAGCAAGUUACUGAAAAGCAGCCAGUUGGUCUAUAGCAGGAAAUUUGCAGCUGAUAGCAGUAGGGGAAAGUUAAGAAAAUCUUGGGAAGGUGAAAGAGUUGGGUUUGAAACUGAUGGUGUUUACAGGAGACGGGAGAGAGCCCUCCUAUACUUUUAGAAAAAACUGGCUUUCUCAAACAACUUUUCUUGAGCAGGAAAGAUGGGAAAGUAAAGCAGCCCUGGAAGAGGGAAGGCUGAGCCUAGGAAAUCCAGGCUGCGCCUAGGAAAUCCAGGCUGCCACAGCACCCAACAGGCUCUGCUUGACUAGGUGUUGAGCUGGAGCACGUCAGUGACUGUGCUACAAUUCUGCAGCUGGAUCCAAACCAGAUGAGGAUCCAGACUUUGGGACAGCUGUCCUGCAGCUCUGCUGCAGGAACAGCACCACUAACACUUGUAGAGGCUCACUCUCCACUUUGGAUUCCCCUAGGGUUUUAGCCAUAGAUGAAACGUAGAGGUGAUUUAUCUUACAGACCAGCCUGAGAAGUGUGGUAGGAAGCUUGCAGAUUCAUCAAGGACUGCUCCAAUCAGUGGUAGGGUAGCAUCUGCCUCAGCCCUCUGAUUCUAGCUACCAUCAUACGUGUGCCAGAGGUCUUUCUUCCUUGAGAGAUUCAGGACCUCCACAAAUUCAAACAUGUCUCCUAUUUGUAGAAGUUAGCCAUUAGCAGGAAAGGCAAUUAGAGUUAGCUAACCAAGAUACUGAAAGAAGCAGGCACUGUACCCAUCCCAUUUAGACAUUACAAAGGAAAUAGCGCAGGCUGCAUUAAAAAUGUGAAAGUCUUGACAGUCUGCAAGCAUCCAGAUCUUAAUCCUGCCCAAACCAACAUAUGGGGCUAAUAUUGUUUAUACGAUUUGCCCUUUGAUCCGUUUCAAGGAUACUCAUGCAAAUCACUGUAUACAUGAUCUCAUCCCAUAUUUAUUACCUUUAAAGCUCGAAAUCUAGGUAUCUCCACCCUGUCAGACAAGUCUGCGAGCUAAUUAAUAAUUUCCAAACACCAGGAACCCCGAGUGCGAUGCUUUCUCAGCGAGGCCGGCUCCUUCCCUGGAAAAGCCGCCGAGCCGGCGCUGGAGGGAGCUGCAGCCCCGGCUACCGCCGCCUCCGCCGGCACCUCCGUUCGCUCCCCAGCACCCCCUGCUCCUCCAGCUCCUCCCAGGAAAAGAUGAGCAUAUUGAAAUUAUUUAAAUUGUAGCUCUCUCUGUCACUUCAGUUCAAGAACGCUGCCUUUUAAAGAAAUCAGAUUAGUUUGUUAACCACAAAGUAAGCGGAGGCUUGCAAAAACAUGCUAAACAAAUGCUAAUUCUGACAGUGGUUUACAAUUUUAUUGGUCACAUGACAAAGGUACAGGAGCUACUUUCUGAAUUAAACAUUAUUACCUCCACCUCAUUUGAACCUUCUUUAGCAUGACAUAUUUUUUCUUAUUUCCAGUUUGAAUAGAAAUCGGAUAAAAUUCUGUGCCUAGUAUCUGCCUCUAUCUCAUUUAAAAAUAAAUUCCGGAUCAGAUGGGACAAAAGUAGUGAGCUAUCUCCCAGCCUUAAUGUCUGUCCCUUGCUAUACCUUGGGGAAGACCAUGCUACUGCUACAUUCUGUUCAAGUGAAAUUAAAUGAAAUUUAGAUUGAAUAACCAACACCAGCUUUCUAGUGAGAAGAAACGGAAACCUUAGUAAAGCUGAAAGGUCACUAAGUGAAUGCUCUUCACUUGGUAAGUUUUUCUCUUGCCAUAUCUUUCUUCCAAUGUUUGCAUAAACUGCAUUAUCACAGACAAAGAAAUGACUCUGAAAAAGCCAUUGCAUUUCUAAAAGACCCAAAGGUCCUGUUCCAUAGCAAGAGGUAAUAUAAUAUUCAAUUAUAUUACCUUAUAUUUGGUAAUACCUUAUUGAGGCAGACAAAAAUGAGUUAAUCAUCAACCUAGAAGAUAAUCUAUAGCUUAGGCACCAGAGCCCAUAAGCUUUUUUCAUUUAGCUGCAACAGCUGUUACACUGCACCAGUGAUGACAAGGAACCCAAAGUGAAAGCAUAAUGAUGCAAAUAAGACAAAACCUCUGAUUACUUCUUCCUUCUCUGUACUAGGAAUGCCCAAGCUGGAUGCAUCCCAUCUGGUGGUGUACCUUCAAUCAAACAUUUGCCAUUUGCCAAAGAGAAAGAUAUAAUUGUCUGCCAAGACAACCCAACUUCCAUGUAAGUGCUUCAGAUCAUUAACAUUUUUUUUAUAAAUGUUUAUAAUUUUAUUUUUUAAAUGAGACUUUUCAAGUACUGGGGGAUAGCCAAAGGGUAAGCAAGAGCAAUAGAUUCAUCUAACGUUAGUCAUAAGGGAAAUAACAUGGAUUAACUUAGGAGGGUUUGAGUGCACCUUGCAUAUGUGCUUCUGGAAUAAAAGGCGCUUUUCUCUCUUGCAAAUGAAGGCAUAUGAUACAGAGACUAAAACAGUAAGCCAAGUUCAAGGUUGACAUAUUUUCAAACUUGCAGCAAGAAUAACAAAUAUAAAUGGACUAGCUUGUUAGCAAUAGUAGAUGAAUUCACAAUCAUUUGGACUGUUUUGGACAGAAUUCUUCAAAUUUAUACCUUCAACUUCAAAGUUCAACUUCGAGGGAAACAAGUGGCUGCAAGAAGGGGAGGUUGGACAAGACUGGGGUCAUCCCCUACAAGCUCUGAGGUUGUGCAGUCUGAUAAUAAUAAUGACUUGUGAGCAAAUGUGGACUUCCAUCUUCCCUAAAGUAUGAUGAGGGCAGGUGGCACAGGAGGGUACCACAGCUCUGGAGUUAGAGGGCGAGGGAGUCCAGAAGCUACAGUGUCUCUAAUUUUUGUGAUUCACAUGGCAAGCGUGGUGAGUUCUCCAACUGAGUUGGCAGAGUAACAGGUGGAUUUCAGUGGCAUCUUGCCUGAGUUCUGCUGAAAGGUCACUGAGAAAGAUGCUUCUUUGUAAAACAUUUCCAUUUCAAUGCAUCAGAUCUUUCUGUUGAAACAGAAUGUUUUGCUGAAAACCUGUUGUGUUGGAAAACUCCCAACCAUUUCUUUUCUCCUACUCCCCUAGAGAGGAAAUGGGCUGUCUCCAGCCUUUGCUUCCUCUUUUGAUGUUUCAGCCAUCCUGUGCUUCCAUUUGUGCCCACUCAGGGUCCAUCUCACAAAGCACACAUCUCUUAAAUGUGUGCUUAAUUAUUUUGUACUGGGAAGUGUAUUAGUUCUUCAAAAGGUAUAAAGAGAAGGAAACAGUACUACUCCAUAAGAAAGACACAGUACAGAUGUGUGAUGGAUACACAUGAAUUUUGCCAUUCAGCAACUGAAUGGGAAAAUUCAGCCUAUCUUUUCUGAAGGACAUGUGUCAUUUCAAUUCCUGAAAUACCAGUUAGCACCAGAGAUGUUUGACACCAUUUGAUUGCCAACAGUAGUAAACCAUUUGAGGAUCAGGGAAAAUCCCGUAACAGCCCAAACCUAUCCCCUAAUGUUACUGAAUUAAACCAGGGGUGAUUUUGGGUAGAGCUGAAUUUGACUUCUGACUGCAGAGAAAAAUGUGACAUCCAAUCAGUAUUUGUCAUGACAAUACUCAGCAGGGAAUUUAGCCCUUUUUAUUUUUUACAUUUGUGUGUCACUCCCAAAUGCCAGUCUGUGAGUGUAUCUGUUACUUGUAAGCAUUUAGUAAUCAUUUGUGACCAAAUGUUAGCGUUUGGUUUGGUUCCAUCUGUCAUACCUAGCUGCAGUCUGUGCCUGGCCACGUCAUUGCACAGAGAUGUGCCAGUGACUUUUCCCCCUUCCUGACAACUCAAACUCUUUGGCUAGAAGAGAUAUAUUUGUGAAGCAUUUUAAAAUGAGGUGUAAAGAAGGCCUUAUUCCAGUUGAAAGGGUCAACAUCCUGCUAAGGCAGUGCUGUUCUUCCAUAAGUACAAGAAAAUCUGUUCAGGGUCACAUCCUGCCUAUGUCCCCCACAGUUAUUCAGGGGUGAUACUGCAGUGUGCAUUGUUUAUCUGAGCCAGCAGCAUGGUGUGCCAGCAUGGGGUCGGGUGCGACUGCAAACUCCUCCGGGAACAGCAAGAACUACAGACCCAGGCAACGUGUACUUGGGCAUGAGCAACAGUUUUCAGUUUAACUUUACCUUUGCCCCUUUCACCAAAAAAUUCAGUGAAGUAGCUGGCACCAUGUGAUUUAAGAUUUUUAAGCAGCUUACAGGAGAUGUAAAAUCAAGGAAAGUGUCCUUUGAAAUGCAGGCAUUGAGUGUGUUUGGCCCUUUGUAAAGGUUCCCAGGCCAUCUGGACAACAAAUAAUGAAGUCUGUAGAAUGGCAGUUGAAUACUUACGUUUAGUUUUAAAAAUUGUGUAUGUGGCAUAUCCCACAAAUCUUACUGCUAGAAUGUCUUUAUCCUGUUUUGUGACUGCUCCAUUGCCCACUACCCCAGUUCAUCACUUUGGCAACAAAUUACUGCAGGGUCUACAUGCAUCACCUCAUUACAUGCAGCACUGCUGCUCCCAGCUGGCAUCCAUCCAUGCCAGAAAACUGAAACCCAAUUUAGACAUGUCUUUCCCAGCUGUGGUUAUGUAUUUGACUGCCUUGUGAGUCUAUGAAUGAUAUUGAAAUACCUUUAGUUUCAAAGCCUGGGCCCCAGAUAGUUAAUUCUUACUUCUACGUUAGUUAGAAGUAAGAAAAUGUGUUUGCUUGUUCAGUAUAUGGUAAUUUUGCUGUCUUACAAAAAUAGGAAGAAAUUUUUUGUGCCUAUUUUCAUAAUUGUCAUGAGUGAAAAUAUUCACCUGAAUUAGUUUAGUUCAAUAGAACACUUCAGCUUCAAAUAGCACAGGAAAGCAUGGACAAUAGAAGUUGAUGUCUUUGAUGUUGCAUGAGCUUUUUUGUGAGAUAAUCUUGGUAGAAAACGAUUUCAGUGUUUUUGACACUGUCAAAAAUCAGGCCUUUAUAGCUCAAUGGAACUGAAAAAAAAAAAGAAUUUGUUUCUAUACUUGCCUUUCUACAUUUAAUUUUUUCUUUCUUUCAUCUCUCUUUGCAGCUCAAGGGAGUAAAUCCUUCCAUGUUUCAAGCUGGCACAGCUCCACAAAACAGUUGUGCCAAUUAUUUCUAGCCAGGGAAAUAAUACUUACCACUAGGUGUAAAGCUGCUUGUACUGAAGCUGUUGAAAUUACUAUCAUUAUGUUAUUUCUUGCCAUGGAAAGGAAAAAGAUGAGUGAGUGUUUGGGGGGCUUUGUUUAAGUGCAACAGGCCGCUUAUUCAUGCAAACUGCUGAAAGCCACCGGGAAGUAAGCACAGUGCGGAGGGUGAACUUCUUGGAAAACCAGAUCUUAUAUUUAACUUGGUAAGGAGACAAAGACAUUUCUUAAUGAAACCUAAAAAUCUCCAGAUCUGCCAGUUCCUUCAGAAAGGAAAAGCCUUUCUCAAUGUGUUAGAUUAACACUGCAGUACUUAUUGUGCUGUUGCUUUUAUGACUCUUACAGAAAUCUUUCCCACACCUCCUGCAGGAGCUACUUGUGUAGUGCCAGUUCUCAGAAAAACCAUCACAUGGUUUUCCUCCACCUGAAAAACGAUUUUGAAUAUUUGUUUUGUUUCACGUGGUCUGUAAUGCUAUUCACACUCAGUUCCUGAAGCUGGGAGAAGAACUCUUCUUCAGAAAAAAAAUUAGAGGGGUCUGAAGGAAACUUUAAGUGGUUUGAAGAGCUUAAACUGGAUGUAGGUUGGGGUACACAACAUUGUCCCCCUCUCACGCAGCAGGGCUCCUGCAGCUGCAUAUACUGGGCCAAGUGGCAUAUCAGUACUUCAUAGCCAGUGUUACAUUUGGUCUAGAUGUUGUAUUGCAACCAGGUCAACACAGCACCUCUUCUGAAGAUGGUAUUUCUUCACACGCUUACAGCAAAGCUCCAGCACAGCCAGGGAGUUGCACUGAGGCUCUGGUGCAGGUACUGCCUCAGGCUGCCUGAGACCUGCCCAAACAUAGGGCCAGGAGCCACACUGCACACCCCUGGCACCGCUCUGGCUUUGCCAUCAGAGACAGGACCACACUCACACAUUCAUUAUACUUCAUUCUUCAUGACACAGCACAGCCCUUCGCAGUCCACGAUAUGGUAUGGUGGGCACAGUCUUAUUUGGUCCAAGGGUGGACUUGAUCAUCUCGAAGGGCUUUUUCAACUUUAAUGAUUCGACGAUUUCUGUAUUUUCUCUUUGGACCGUGACCCGAAGCAGCGAGGAAUGUGUCAUGGGGCCUCACCGCGGUGUGAGGGGAGCCACUGCCAGCACGGCUCCAGAGCGGUGUGAGGGGAGCCACUGCCAGCGCGGCCUCACCGCGGUGUGAGGGGAGCCACUGCCAGCACGGCCU